GAAGGCAGAAGACCAUAAACAACUUCUCUAAUUUGGACAGCAGCAGUCAGGUCCAGUAAGGAAAUUCUGCCAGAGAACCUGCUGGAAAACCAAGGCAAAUGAUGACAACCAAUGACAGAUCUUCUAAGUGAAUGGAUAAUAAAAUGCAAUUCCAGAUGUCUGGACAUCAUUGUUGUGUGAAGACUGGUGAAGAGAAGUUACAAAGGAGAAAACAUAGAAGGCGUGAAAUGAGAGAGACCCCCAUCUGUGUCAUUGAAUGACCUCGACAAUGAGAGUGAGAGUCCAGGAGGAACUGUCAACAGGCAUUGAGGGGAGUGAUAGAUGGUCCUAUUCACAUUGCGCACACACAGACAUAGACGCAUAUAUAUCAUACUACUAUCUGACAUCUCACCCUCAAGCAUGCAUGUUAUGCUAUGGUGCACUGAUGCACUUAUCUCCACGAAAUACACACACGUACAGAUGUUAGUCUGUGUCCCCACUCGAGGUUAAAAGUUGCUGCUGUGAUAAGCACCAAACAUCAUGUCAACAUCAACAUGUUUAUACGCGAUAACAAAAUGUGUUGGCUUGACACAUGACUGCUGUUUAUUGACUGGUUUUUUGCAUGAGCACUGUGUAAAUAAAACCAGUGUCAUCUGCAUAGAUUAUUCAUUUAAUCUGUCAUCACUGAUCUAGUGUACAUUAUAUGUUUUCCGUAGACAUAAAGACUUACUCUGUGUGUGUAUUGCUUUGCCAAAACCAAUUCAGCUACAUUUUAAAGAAGUGGAUGCUAUAUUAAUAGCAUAUAUUAAUUCUCUUUGCCUGAAACUCACAGAGACCCAAUGGCACCAAAUACCACCACAAAUCCGUUCCUCCCAACUGCAAAAAAAAAAAAAAAAAAAAAAUGCAAUGCUUGAUUUUUCUCCUUACAUUUCUUCUUUGACAAACAGCCAGUAAAAAGUUUGACUUUUCAAACAGCCACAGCAAAAGGCACAAAGGCUUCUUUGCUAAACUCCAGACUAAACAGAACAGAGCUGGGGACAAGUCACUGAGUAUAAGUGAUGGUGAUGUGUGGUGUCAUUCUCUGUCCUGCUGCUUCUCAGACACAUGUCAAAGUGAAAGCAGAGAACCCAGAGCUGAUGUCUCUGUUUUACCCACUCAGAUACACAAGAAACAGAUGCAACCUCUGCAAAGACACAACAGAUGUCUGGUUUACAUUUUCACUGAUUAUGAAGUGCACGUACUAAAAUAUUCAAUAUAAUUAUAUGGGAUUUUUUGAAUAAUCUUUGAAAUGUGUAAUUUAAAGUGUCAGACCUAGCCUGGAAUGUACUGCUAUGCUGCAUAAUAAACAAAACAAAUGUU